UACAGCGGAGGUUGUCCAACAAUGUAAAGAACUAUGGACGUGGACCACUUUACAUCAAGGUCUGCGAAUCGACUCAGCGCUAGUGACUCAGACUAAUAUGAUCAGAAUGGGCGAGCUGCAACAGAUGAAAUUAAAAAAAAA